rnacentral:tRNA from 1 species
GGGCGCGUAGCUCAGUUGGCAGAGCACCUGACUUUUAAUCAGGGGGUCCCAGGUUCGAUCCCUGGCGCGCCUACCA